CCUUUUAAGCUGCGGCUUGACAGGAGCCGCGCCUCCUGUCGGUGGAGUCGGUUACAAGGGGAGCAGCCGCCCAGGCCGCCACACAGCUCCCCGCAGAGGCCUCGGUACCCCUUACCAUUUUCCAGCCGUGCUCCGACUACAGUGGAGGCAGUGGGGAGAGGCAGAGCGGCCAGAGCUCCGCCGGGCUGUCCUGCCGGGUGGUCGUGGCCAUGACAGGGGCUCCGGAUGGGCUCACCUUCCGCGCCCCUCCCGCCGGAAAUGAGGCUUCAUCAGCAAUUGAAGUGCUGGAUAUGUAGACUCCGCAGAUUAGAUAACCUUCCUAAGCACCUGGAUGUUGAGAUGCCAGAUCAACCACUACCCAUAGGUCAGAUACUAAAAACAACCUUUUCAUUCUUUGGAGCUGCUAGCAUUUAGUAUGACAGAAUGGGACAACAGAAGAAGUGACUUCAAAAGAAGAGGAAGAAGAAGAGAUGGCUGAAGUAGGCAUUUUAUGUAAGAAUAACAUUUUGGCCAGGAUAUAGAAGAACUUAGAUCACUAUGAGAUGGAAGAAGAGCCUAUUAGUGGGAAAAAGUUGGAGGAUGAAGGAAUUGAAAAAGAAAAUUGGGCAAUAUUAGAGAAAAUUAGGAAGACUGAAAGGCAAGACCAUUUAAAUGUGCUGCAGUGUCUGGGUCAGUGCAAGCUUCAGAUAGACUUAUGGAAGAGCUCAGGGACAUAUACAGAUCACAGAGUUAUAAGACAGUGUUCCUGACAGCAUCUCAGAGGACGAUGCCCUCUGGCUUACUCUCUAGGAAAUGCUGCUCUGUUGGAAAUCUGGAGUUCUGAGUGAUUCCCAUGUGUUUUCU